ACUAGUUUGAUGUUUCUUUCCAGUUUGUAUCUCCCUUACAAUGCCAUUUCGUAAAAUGAUUACUCUCUGAUAGACCUGUGUGGCAAGUGGUCGCUUAUUUCAGCAUAACAAGUUCCUUUUCCUUCAAAAUAUGUCAGGCUUUUGUUUGGUUGCAACUUACCUUUGACGUUGGAAGAGAAUGUAUAAUGAUAUUUAUGAAGACAUUUGAAAUGGCAAAAGCCACUUGCAAAAAACUCAGUGGGGAUUUAAUAUUGGAAAACUACUUCUGUAACAGCAAAAAAUAUCUUUCAUUUUCCAAAGAGCCCUAAGAACUGAUUGGCUUAGAGUGUAAGGGACAUCUGCAGUUUAUAUAAUAGAGGGUGUGUGUAUGUACAUACCAGUUUCCAAGGAGUCUGCAAAUAGACAGUCAUUGAUCUGAUUCAGGGAGUAAAUCUCUUCAGAAUUUGUUGUUACAUCCAUGUGGAAACUUUCAUCAUUGUCAGGACUGCUGUUGCCCUUGUUCAUAUUUUCUUCUUUUUUGUGUUGCACCUUACUGUCCCAUUCUUUAGUCCAUCUGCCUUGCUCUCAUUACCUAAGUGGUUAAGAAAAAGAAAUGUGUAGAGUUUUGCUAAUUUGUGUGAAACCAGGAAUGAAUAAUUGGAGCCAUCAUCAUAAUCAUUGUCGUCAUCAUUUGAAGUAUUAUUAAAAAAAUAAUUUUUAGAUUG